UACGUAGGGGGCAAGCGUUGUCCGGAUUCAUUGGGCGUAAAGAGCGUGUAGGCGGCCAGGUAGGUCGGUUGUGAAAACUGGAGGCUCAACCUUCAGAGGUCGACCGAAACCAUCUGGCUAGAGUCCGGGAGAGGAGAGUGGAAUUCCUGGUGUAGCGGUGAAAUGCGCAGAUAUCAGGAAGAACACCCGUGGCGAAGGCGGCUCUCUGGAACGGUACUGACGCUGAGACGCGAAAGCGUGGGGAGCGAACAGG
rnacentral:rRNA from 1 species